rnacentral:rRNA from 1 species
GACGGGGGGGGUAAGCGUUGUUCGGAAUUACUGGGCGUAAAGGGCUCGUAGGCGGCCAACUAAGUCAGACGUGAAAUCCCUCAGCUUAACUGGGGAACUGCGUCUGAUACUGGAUGGCUUGGAUUCGGGAGAGGAAUGCGGAAUUCCAGGUGUAGCGGUGAAAUGCGUAGAUAUCUGGAGGAACACCGGUGGCGAAGGCGGCUCACUGGCCCGGUACUGACGCUGAGGUGCGAAAGCGUGGGGAGCAAACAGG